rnacentral:rRNA from 1 species
AGCAGCCGCGGUAAUUCCAGCUCCAAUAGCGUAUAUUAAAGUUGCUGCAGUUAAAAAGCUCGUAGUUGAAUUUCGGGACCAUCAUGUCGGUCGUGCCUCGGUACGUACUGGCAUCGUUGGUUUCUCCCUUCUGACGAACCAUGAUGUCAUUAAUUUGGUGUCAUGGGGAAUCAGGACUGUUACUUUGAAAAAAUUAGAGUGUUUAAAGCAGGCUCACGCUUGAAUACAUUAGCAUGGAAUAAUGAAAUAGGACGUUUGAUUCUAUUUUGUUGGUUUCUAGGAUCGACGUAAUGAUUAAUAGGGAUAGUUGGGGGCAUUAGUAUUCAAUUGUCAGAGGUGAAAUUCUUGGAUUUAUUGAAGACUAACUACUGCGAGAGCAUUUGCCAAGGAUGUUUUCAUUAAUCAAGAACGAAAGUUAGGGGAUCGAAGACGAUCAGAUACCGUCGUAGU